GCCCAAGUGACGUAACUGGCAACCGUGCCGGCCUCAGAUGCCGGCGGCCGCGAGGCCGUGCGGGUUCGACUCCCGCCUUGGGCACCA
rnacentral:tRNA from 1 species